rnacentral:rRNA from 1 species
AUCACGGACAGCUGGUGAUUAAAUUUAGCGGCGUCGAAUUCUCCCUUUUGCCAGCAGCCGCGGGUAAUUCCUGCUCCAAUAACGUAUGUUAAAGUUGUUCUGCUUAAAAAGCUCGUAGUUGAACCUUUGGCCUGGCUGGCCGGUCCGCCUCACCGCGUGUACUGGUCCGGCCUGGCCUUUCCCUCUGUUCAACCCUAUGCCCUUCACUGCGUGUAGCGUGUAAACCGGACUUUUUCUUUACAAAAAUAAAAUGCUCCAAGCAGGACUUUGCUCUUUUUCCUUAAUUGGAAUAAUAAAAUAGAAAAUGGGGGUCUAAACCUGGGUUGAUUUACCGCGGACCCCCCUAUUUAAAACAUUAAAUCUCCUCCUUCUUCAUUCUCCAUAUGUGAAACACUAAAAAACUUAAAAACACCGCCACUGACCACCGACUUCCACGAGUGAUA